GGAAAAUGAUUAAAAAUAGCUAGAAAGAUCAGAAAUUCAUACAAAUUGGUCCUCAUCCAUAAAAUGUGGUCUAACUCUCGUGAAAAUUUGUGUGGUGCCCUUUUGCAAAAUAUUCUUGAUAGAUGUUUCACAAAAUUCAUCUAAUUUUUAGUACAUGGAAACUAUUUUAAAUCAUUGAUUUUCCGAACCAAUCAGAACUCUUCCCACGGAUCGAUGAAAUGGCGCCCAUCCGUCCAUCCAUCCAUCUCUCCAUUCCAUAUCCAUCCAUCCAUCUAUCU
rnacentral:lncRNA from 1 species